GUCUACGGCCAUGCCACCCUGAACAAACCCAAUCUCAUCUGAUCUCGGAAGCUAAGCAGGGUUGGGCCUGGUUAGUACUUGGAUGGGAGACCACCUAGGAAGACCAGUUGCUGUAGGUG
rnacentral:rRNA from 1 species